UGGAGUUGUGACGCCUUGAUGAAAUUUCAGAUUUCCAGAUUCCACAAGCACAAAACUUGGAAAGUUGCAGACUAAAUUAGGCUACUCAGUACUCAGUUACUAAUUUAAAUUUUCUGAUUUUCUAAUUCUGUUUUAUUUUACUGUGCAAACAGUUUUUGUUAAGGAUACAUUUUUGCGGAUGAGAAGAAAGGAGCGUCUUUUAAAGCCCUUCAGAGGACAUCCUUAUUUCUGGAAUUAUUAGAUAGUAAGCAAUUGAUGAUUAUGAGAUAUAUCUCAAAGAUAUUCCACUCCAUCAGAACGCUCAAUAUUCCAAACAAGAGGUCUAUUGUUCACAAUCUCAAAAGAAGCAAUAAUAUUGUAAAUAUGAAGAUCACCUACCCUCCAGCGCGAAUCGACUCUGCUGUGGAUUCUUAUAAUGGAGUUCAGGUAACUGAUCCGUAUCGUUGGCUGGAAGAUCCAGACAGCGAGGAAACGAAGAAUUAUGUGGAUGCUCAGAAUGCCAUCACUAGGCCGUUCUUGGAGUCAUGCGAAGAGCGCACCAAGAUUAACUCUAGACUCACUGAGCUCUGGAACUAUCCGAAAUACUCUUGCCCCUACCGACAUGGCGAUAAAUAUUUCUACUACAUGAAUACUGGACUACAGAAUCAAAGUGUUUUGUACGUGCAAGACAGUUUGACCGCAGAAGCAAAGGUUUUCUUGGACCCAAACACUCUCUCUGAGGACGGGACAGUUGCAUUAACUGGCACUCAGUUCUCAGAAAAUGAGAAAAUCGUUGCUUACACUCUUAGUCAGAGUGGGUCUGAUUGGAAGACUAUUCAUUUCAAAGAUGUUGAUACGGGUAAAGAUUAUGAUGAAGUCUUGGAGAAAGUCAAGUGCUCAAGUAUGACUUGGACUCAUGAUAAUAAAGGUAUUUUCUAUGGGAGAUACCCUGAUCAAAUUGGAAAAGCUGAUGGAUCAGAGACAGACUGCAAUAAGAACCAGAAGCUUUAUUACCAUAGAAUUGGAACACCUCAGUCCGAAGAUGUGCUAGUAGUAGAAUUUCCUGAAGAACCUAAUUUCAUCAUAGGAGCUGAAGUGAGCGACUGUGGAAGGUGGCUGAUUCUGUUUCCGUGCAAGGACUGCAAGGAUCAGCUGUUGUACUUCUCAGACCUGCAUGCGAUACCCGAUGGCCAAAUUAACGGCAAACUCAAACUUGUUCAGGUUGUUCACCAGCUGGAAGCCAACUUUGAUUACAUCACCAAUGAUGGACCUCAAUUCUUAUUCAGAACCAACAAGGGCGCACCCAACUACAGAUUAGUGAAAAUUGAUUUUGAAAAUCCCGCCGAAGAAAAUUGGACGACUGCCAUUGAAGAGCAUUCGAACGAUGUACUCGACUGGGCUGCAGCUGUCAACCAAAAUCAGUUGGUGCUCUGUUACAUUCAUGAUGUCAAGAAUGUCCUUCAAUUGCACGAUCUGAGUUCCGGAAAACUUUUGAAAUCAUUUCCGUUGGAGAUGGGCUGCAUUUCUGGCUACUCAGGCAAAAGAAAAUACUCGGACAUUUUCUAUCAAUUCACCUCGUUUCUCACACCUGGAAUUAUUUACCAUUGCGAUCUCACUAAAUCGGAACUGGAGCCAAAAAUUUUCCGAGAGAUAAAAGUGCCUGGAUUUGAUUCAUCAAACUGUGAAGCGAAACAAGUAUUCUAUACCAGUAAAGAUGGCACGAGAAUACCCAUGUUCAUUGUUCAUAAGAAGGGAAUUUCUCUUGACGGGAAAAAUCCAACUCUGCUGUACGGAUAUGGAGGAUUCAAUAUUAGUGUGCAGCCUUCCUUUAGCAUCACGCGGGUUGUAUUCAUCCAGCAUUUAAAUGGCAUCUUAGCUGUAGCCAACCUCAGAGGUGGUGGAGAGUACGGACAGCGAUGGCACGACGCGGGUCGUCUGAUGAACAGACAAAACGUGUUCGAUGACUUCCAGGCGGCCGGUGAAUACCUGAUUAAGGAGAAGUACACGUCACCCGAUCACCUGGCCAUCCACGGCAGCUCCAAUGGUGGACUCCUCACAGCCGCUUGCAGCAACCAGAGGCCCGAUCUGUUUCGUGUAGCCAUCAUUCAGUGCGGUGUGUUGGACAUGCUGAGAUACCACUUGUUCACGAUCGGAUGCAUGUGGGUGUCGGACUAUGGAUGUUCGGACCAACCCAAGCAGUUUGAGAAUUUGUACAAAUUUUCACCUCUCCACAACGUCAAGGAACCGGCUGGAGAUGUUCAGGUAUUUUCAGUUGAUUAUAUAUAACUGAAUAGUAUUCCUAGAAUAGAAUCUAUAAUUUGGAAUGAGUAUCAUAGAAUAUGUAGAUAGAAAUGAAAAUAAUUGGCACAAUAUCUGGAUAGUGACUUUUGCAUUUUUUUAUUUUCAAAAAUAUGUUGCCUAUCUUGUUUAUUGCGGGAGAGGAGGAAAAUCGGAAUAAAUUAUUGAAGACAGAAUUAAAGCGAUUUCUCCUUUUACUUGUUUUAUCCAUGGAAAGAUGCUGAAGAUCCACAGAAAAAGGAGAAUUCGCUUUACCACCGCAAGAGCAUCAAAUAUUACAUAUAUCUCUCACAACUGGCAUCUCUUGAAUCAUCCGAAAAUCCCUAAACCAAUGAAGCAUCAACUCCAAGACCAGAAACAAGUCAUCAAGUAGAAGAUAAGGAGGAAGUGAACAGAUCACAACUGCUUGAAGAUUCAUUCUCAUCUGAGUAUGAAUCUGAAUCUGAGGAAGCCUUGAAUUUCGACAUUACUAACAGUGAAUCUGAUUAAAGAAUAAAGACACAAAAAAUCCACAUUAUUUACAAACGUUUC
rnacentral:misc_RNA from 1 species